AACUCCCAAUUACCCUCUGGACACGCCCCUCUCCUGCUAACUCACCACACCUGAACUCACUCUGCCAAUCACCAAUUCCUCUCCCAUUCUUCUGGUAUAUAAGCAACUCACAGGCAGGACAGAGAGAGAGAGACCCAGUGAAGACCUUUGAAGAGCUCUGAAGAAGUGAAGCUACAACUGAAGAUUUGUGAAGGAGACUAUCACCAUGGCCAUGUUGACCAUUCUUCUGCUUCUCAGCGCUGCCUUUGCUUUGGGAGACGCAGAUGGACUUGGACCAGUGAAACCAUGUCGCUCAGGCUGGACCAAUUAUGGAUCACGCUGCUUCAUGUUUAUCAAGACAGCAAGGACAUGGGCAGAAGCAAAGCGGCAUUGUAUUUCCCUUGGAGCAAACCCUGGCGUCUGUGCAUAGCUCUGAGGAGCACGCAAUUUCUACAGGGGGUGGUGUUUUCCGGGACUGGUGAAUUCCUCCUACCUGGAUUGGAGGGUUUGAAGAUCCUAAAGAAAUACUGGUAAAGGACAGGCUAUGGUUCUGGAGUGAUGGGUCCAAGUUUGAUUACCAGGACUGGAUUCAAGGAGAGCCCAAUAACAAUGGUGGCAGAGAGCCAUGUAUUGUGAUGAACUUAAGAGGUGAACAAGGCUGGAACGAUCUAGCAUGUGGAAACAGAUUGCCCUCGGUGUGCUCCCGGAGAAUCUUUUUUUAAUCGGCAAAACAUCAGAUGAAACCAAAAAUGCUACUCCAUACUGUCAGCAUCCUAACUGAAAACUUGUUAUGGUAAAGUCAAAUACUUUGUGGAGAUUAUUUGUUGCUGUAAAAUGAGUAUUAGUUAUUUGUUGGUCAUAAAUGUUGAGUAAUGAUUUUGUGGUUUGUUGUCAAUAAAACAGGUGUACACAUUA